UACGUAGGGUGCGAGCGUUAAUCGGAAUUACUGGGCGUAAAGCGUGCGCAGGCGGUUCGUUGUGUCGGUGGUGAAAGCCCCGGGCUUAACCUGGGAAUGGCCAUGGAAACUGGCGAACUGGAGUGUGGCAGAGGGGGGUGGGAAUUCCGCGUGUAGCAGUGAAAUGCGUAGAGAUGCGGAGGAACACCGAUGGCGAAGGCAGCCCCCUGGGCUAACACUGACGCUCAGGCACGAAAGCGUGGGGAGCAAACAGG
rnacentral:rRNA from 1 species